rnacentral:rRNA from 1 species
UACGGAGGGUGCAAGCGUUAAUCGGAAUUACUGGGCGUAAAGCGUGCGCAGGCGGUUUGUUAAGUCUGUUGUGAAAUCCCCGAGCUCAACUUGGGAAUUGCAAUGGAUACUGGCAGGCUGGAGUAUGGUAGAGGAAGGUGGAAUUCCCGGUGUAGCAGUGAAAUGCGUAGAGAUCGGGAGGAACACCAGUGGCGAAGGCGGCCUUCUGGACCGAUACUGACGCUCAUGCACGAAAGCGUGGGGAGCAAACAGG